rnacentral:rRNA from 1 species
CCUACGGGUGGCAGCAGUGAGGAAUAUUGGUCAAUGGACGAGAGUCUGAACCAGCCACGUAGCGUGAAGGAUGACUGCCCUAUGAGUUGUAAACUUCUUCUAUAUGGGAGUAAAACAGGGUAUGCAUACCCCCUUGUAUGUACCAUAUGAGUAAGGAUCGGCUAACCCCGUGCCAGCAGCCGCGGUAAUACGGAGGAUCCGGGCGUUAUGCGGAUUUAUUGGGUGUAACGGGAGCGUAGGUGGAUUGUUAAGUCAGUUGUGAAAGUUUGCGGCUCAACCGGAAAAUUGCAGUUGAAACUGGCAGUCUGGAGUGCAGGAGAGGAGAGUGGAAUUCGUGGUGUAGCAGUGAAAUGCUUAGAUAUCAGGAAGAACUCCGAUGGCGAAGGCAGCUAACUGGAAUGCAACUGACACUGAGGCGCGAAAGUGUGGGUAGCAAACAGGAUUAGAUACCCCUGUAGUC